UACGUAGGGUGCGAGCGUUAAUCGGAAUUACUGGGCGUAAAGCGUGCGCAGGCGGUGAUGUAAGACAGUUGUGAAAUCCCCGGGCUUAACCUGGGAAUUGCGCUUGUGACUGCAAGGCUGGAGUGCGGCAGAGGGGGAUGGAAUUCCGCGUGUAGCAGUGAAAUGCGUAGAUAUGCGGAGGAACACCGAUGGCGAAGGCAAUCCCCUGGGCCUGCACUGACGCUCAUGUACGAAAGCGUGGGGAGCAAAC
rnacentral:rRNA from 1 species